rnacentral:rRNA from 1 species
UUGAACGCUGGCGGCAGGCCUAACACAUGCAAGUCGAGCGGCAGCGGGAAAGUAGCUUGCUACUUUUGCCGGCGAGCGGCGGACGGGUGAGUAAUGCCUGGGAAAUUGCCCAGUCGAGGGGGAUAACAGUUGGAAACGACUGCUAAUACCGCAUACGCCCUACGGGGGAAAGCAGGGGACCUUCGGGCCUUGCGCGAUUGGAUAUGCCCAGGUGGGAUUAGCUUGUUGGUGAGGUAAUGGCUCACCAAGGCGACGAUCCCUAGCUGGUCUGAGAGGAUGAUCAGCCACACUGGAACUGAGACACGGUCCAGACUCCUACGGGAGGCAGCAGUGGGGAAUAUUGCACAAUGGGGGAAACCCUGAUGCAGCCAUGCCGCGUGUGUGAAGAAGGCCUUCGGGUUGUAAAGCACUUUCAGCGAGGAGGAAAGGUUGAUGCCUAAUACGCAUCAGCUGUGACGUUACUCGCAGAAGAAGCACCGGCUAACUCCGUG